rnacentral:rRNA from 1 species
GAGGAAUAUUGGGCAAUGCCCGCAAGGGUGACCCAGCAACGCCGCGUGGAGGAUGAAUGUCGUAAGAUUGUAAACUCCUGUUAGAGGGGAAGAAUAGUACCGGUUGGACCGGUAUAUGACUGUACCCUCAGAGAAAGCCCCGGCUAACUACGUGCCAGCAGCCGCGGUAAUACGUAGGGGGCAAGCGUUGUCCGGAUUUACUGGGUGUAAAGGGCGCGCAGGCGGGAUAAAAAGUCAGUGGUGAAAUCCUACAGCUUAACUGUAGAGCUGCCUUUGAUACUUUUAUUCUUGAGUUCGGGAGAGAGAGACGGAAUUCCAGGUGUAGUGGUGAAAUACGUAGAUAUCUGGAAGAACACCAGUUGCGAAGGCGGUCUCUUGGUCCGACACUGACGCUGAGGCGCGAAAGCGUGGGGAGCAAACA